GUCAGCAGUAAAAAUCCAAUGUUGCUGAACAAGAAUGGAAGCAGAUUUUCUGGCCUCAAUCUAUUUAAACAUGCUUGGUGUCAGCAUAUCAAUUAGUCUGAGGAGGUAAACGGCCAGGAAAAGAUGUUUGGACAGAACGUGGAUUUUAAUUCUGAAAAAUGGCUUGGGAAAAUGUAUCCGAAAAAGUCAGCAGUGGUUUUCGCCUUGGAUCUCUGCCAUGGGUGCAAUUUCUGCCCGGUCUCUUCCUUAUUGGACGGACCUUAACUGAGGCAAGUGAGGCCUGCAGUUCUUUAUAUGUUGUCUUGGGUUACUGUGUGACCUCCAUGAUGAAUCUGUCAUGAUCUGUAUCCUGCAGUUCCUCUGCAAGGCGUUUGCCUUUUUUCUUUCUCCCCAGCACUAAUCACCUCCUCGCCCGCACACCUGGUUCCAAUCAGCACUCAUCACUGCGUGCACUUAAGCCUGCCUGUUCCUGUGUUCCAGUGCCAGGGUAUUCUCGCACCUCUGUUGUACACCGGCCGACUCAUUGCUCCAGCUUGUGAGAAAGACUCCCAGAUUACUUGUGCUUGUACUUACUUGUUUUUCCUCAUCCUUCUCCAGUGCCUUCCUGUGCCUCAUAAUUAACCUCCUGCAUGGUAGAGCUGCUCGGUGGGCUACCGCUUUGUGGCAUAAUUCCUCCCCCUUGUUAAUCUGUUUUGACUUGUUUUCCGCCAAACUCACUAAGGUUUUUGACCACCCCAUUAAGGGCAGUCCCUUACUCAGGGCUCCAAAUCCGUAGCCUCAUACUUGAUCGAUGUCUGAAUUGAGGCUGAAUUCAGGAUUUUUGCUAAAGGGCUGUCUGAACGGCUCAAGGAUGAGUUAGCGGCCAGAGAAGAGCCCACCUCGUUGGAGGGGCGAAUUUCAUUGGCCAUUAAAAUAGACUAUCGUCUUAGAGAAGGACAUAGAGAGAGAGAGAGGAUAAAUCCCGCAGUCUAGCACUCUCUGCAGGCUUUGCCCGUCCAGCAACACCGCUGCAUGCGGAAACCCCUACUGCCUCCUCAUCAUCCCCCAGUGGACUGGAGGAGCCUCUGCAACUGGGCAAGACCCAUCUAGACCCUCUGGAUCGUCAGUGCUGUUGUAGUCACUGGCUUUGCAUUUACUCUCACUGUCACUGGCUUUUGCAACUCUCACUGUCUUCACUCAGCCGUCCCAACCUCCAGUAAACCUCAGCCGCCAGUAGCACCACUCGAUCUCUCCCUGGUCCCGGAAGAAUACCACAAUCUCUCUCCGGUUUUCUGUAAGGAUUUGGCCAUCUCCUACCCCUCCACCGCCUUAUGACUGCGCCAUCGACCUUCCUGGAGUUCCUCUCCCCUAGAGUUGCCUCGUCAACCUUUCCUGCCCUGAAAAGAUUGCCAUAGAGAACUACAUCAGUGACUCCCUAGCCUCUGGACUAAUUCGGCCUUCCUCCUCCCCACUGGGGGCUGGUUUCUUCUUUGUUGGGAAGAAAUAUUCCACUCUCCACCCCUUAUUGACUUCCAUGGGCCCCACGACAACCAUCAAGAACAAAUCCCCGCUGCCCCUCAUUGACCCAUCAUUUGAACUCCUAUGCGACGGAAGUACUUUAGUGGGGACACAACUCCAAAGUGACCUGUCAUCCCGGAAUCACUCGAACCCUCCAAUUCCUCCAACAACACUUCUGGUGGCCCUGGUCCCACAUUGCCUUGGACUUUGUUACUGGCCUCCCCCCCUCUGAAGGUAACACCAUCAUUCUUACCGUCAUAGAUCGUUUCUCUAAGUGUGUCCACUCCGUGGCCCUUCCCAAGUUACCUUCUGCUCUCGAGACCGCUAACCUUCUAGUCCUCCACAUGUUGUAACUUCACGGAAUACCCAUAGACAUUGUCUCGGACCGAGGUCACGUGUUCUCCUCCCAGGUCUAGAAAGAGUUCUGUAAGGCGGUGGGCGCAGCAGUCCGUCUGUCUUCUGUCUACCAUCCGCAGUCCAACGGUCAGACGGAGCGUGCAAAUCAAAAUCUGGAGUCUGCUCUUCGCUGCGUUACCGCACACAAUCCUGUCUCCUGGAGCACCUUUCUCCCGUGGGCACUAAUCACCUCCUCGCCCGCGCACCUGGUUCCAAUAAGCACACAUCACUGCCCGCACUUAAGCCUGCCUGUUCCUGUGUUCCAGCACCAGAGUAUUUGCCUUCCUGUGCCUCCAGCCACACUGCCAAGCUCACUCCCCUGCUCACGCUACCUUCUCCUGCAAGCUCCCUGCUCCUACGGACCGGGCUCAAACCUUGGAAUUCUCGGCUCCGCGCUACCCUCAAUAAAUCCCUU